rnacentral:rRNA from 1 species
UACGUAGGGUGCGAGCGUUAAUCGGAAUUACUGGGCGUAAAGCGUGCGCAGGCGGUUUGUUAAGCCAGAUGUGAAAGCCCCGGGCUCAACCUGGGAACUGCGUUUGGUACUGGCAAGCUAGAGUACGGCAGAGGGGGGUGGAAUUCCACGUGUAGCAGUGAAAUGCGUAGAGAUGUGGAGGAACACCGAUGGCGAAGGCAGCCCCCUGGGCCGAUACUGACGCUCAGGCACGAAAGCGUGGGGAGCAAACAGGAUUAGAAACCCCCGUAGUCC